CCGUGAGAAACCCCUCCAUGUGUUCCUCUGUUUGCCGUGGAGACCUAGGUGUGAGGAAUCUCACUAGUAGAGAGAAUCCCAGGUGGAUGGUAGUCUCUCUCCCUCUUAGUGCAUGCAGCCCCUUCCACCCGUGCAUGAAGAGAGAGGAGAUAUGGGGUGCACCUCCAUUUUCUCUUCCUAGGAGGCGCACCCCCCUAGGGCUCCUUGCUGCAUGAAAGACCAGAGAGAGAGG
rnacentral:lncRNA from 1 species